rnacentral:rRNA from 1 species
GUGGCGAACGGGUGAGUAACACGUGAGCAAUCUGCCCUUGACUCUGGGAUAACUGCGGGAAACUGUAGCUAAUACCGGAUACUUUCCUCGCUGGGCAUCCAGCGGGGAAGAAAGAAUUUCGGUCAAGGAUGAGCUCGCGGCCUAUCAGCUAGUUGGUGAGGUAAUGGCUCACCAAGGCGACGACGGGUAGCCGGCCUGAGAGGGUGACCGGCCACACUGGAACUGAGACACGGUCCAGACUCCUACGGGAGGCAGCAGUGGGGAAUAUUGCACAAUGGGCGAAAGCCUGAUGCAGCAACGCCGCGUGAGGGAUGAAGGCCUUCGGGUUGUAAACCUCUUUUAGCAGGGAAGAAGCGAAAGUGACGGUACCUGCAGAAAAAGCACCGGCUAACUACGUGCCAGCAGCCGCGGUAAUACGUAGGGUGCAAGCGUUGUCCGGAAUUAUUGGGCGUAAAGAGCUCGUAGGCGGUUUGUCACGUCUGCUGUGAAAAUCCGAGGCUCAGCCUCGGACUUGCAGUGGGUACGGGCAGGCUAGAGUGCGGUAGGGGAGAAGGGAAUUCCUGGUGUAGCGGUGGAAUGCGCAGAUAUCAGGAGGAACACCAAUGGCGAAGGCACUUCUCUGGGCCGUAACUGACGCUGAGGAGCGAAAGCGUGGGGAACGAACAGGAUUAGAUACCCUGGUAGUCCAC